GCGCAAGUUAGAACAGCCAAUAAGCACUGAUGACAUUGUGAACUCAUCCGGUGAAUAUCUGCAAGCUCUCAUCAAAGAAAAAUAAGACAGAGCUGUAUCUUCAUACCCUGAUUUACAACAGCUCGAAAUCAAUGAGUUCCAUGAAAUAACGUCCACUGUCUCCAUGGCUAAAAACACGGCAGUGGCAUAGUCUACUAACCCAAGCUUUCCAUACAUAUCAAUCAGUGAAU
rnacentral:misc_RNA from 1 species